UGGGGAAUUUUGGACAAUGGGGGCAACCCUGAUCCAGCAAUGCCGCGUGUGUGAAGAAGGCCUUCGGGUUGUAAAGCACUUUUGUCCGGGAAGAAAUCGCACCUGAUAAUACCGGGUGUGGAUGACGGUACCGGAAGAAUAAGGACCGGCUAACUACGUGCCAGCAGCCGCGGUAAUACGUAGGGUCCAAGCGUUAAUCGGAAUUACUGGGCGUAAAGCGUGCGCAGGCGGUUGUGCAAGACCGAUGUGAAAUCCCCGGGCUUAACCUGGGAAUUGCAUUGAUGACUGCACGGCUAGAGUGUGUCAGAGGGGGGUAGAAUUCCACGUGUAGCAGUGAAAUGCGUAGAGAUGUGGAGGAAUACCGAUGGCGAAGGCAGCCCCCUGGGAUAACACUGACGCUCAUGCACGAAAGCGUGGGGAGCAAACAGG
rnacentral:rRNA from 1 species